CCUACGGGAGGCAGCAGUCGAGAAUCAUUCACAAUGGGGGAAAGCCUGAUGGUGCGACGCCGCGUGGGGGAAUGAAGGUCUUCGGAUUGUAAACUCCUGUCAUGUGGGAGCAAGGUAAAAGGUUAGUACCACAAGAGGUAGAGAGGGCUAACUCCGUGCAAGCAGCCGCGGUAAUACAGAGGGCUCAAGCGUUGUUCGGAAUCACUGGGCGUAAAGCGUGCGUAGGCUGUUUAGUAAGUCGUGUGUGAAAUGCGCGGGCUCAACCCGCGGACGGCACAUGAUACUGGGAGACUGGAGUGAUGGAGGGGGAAGCGGAAUUCUAGGUGUAGGAGUGAAAUGCGUAGAUAUCGGGAGGAACACUAGUGGCGAAGGCGGGUUCCUGGACAGUAACUGACGCUGAGGCACGAAAGCGAGGGGAGCGAAAGGGAUUAGAUACCCGAGUAGUC
rnacentral:rRNA from 1 species